rnacentral:snRNA from 1 species
GUGCUCGCUUCAGCAGCACAUAUACUAAAAUUGGAACAAUACAGAGAAGAUCUGCAUGGCCCCCACGCAAGAAUGACAGGCAAAUUCAUGAAGCAUUCAAUAUUUUU